GAGCUGUUUAUUCUGGCGGCCUCUGCUGGUGAGGCCUUGAGGGUUUUACAAAGGUCUUCUAUGACUGUUUCAUCUUCAGAACCACUUUCUGGCUGGACAGAGCAAAUGAUGCUGUAAUUUUUAGAACGUAGACUCUGGAGGCAGUGGCUGGGAUUCAGGUCCUAAGUUUGUUAUGUAUUACACAUGUAAAAGUGGGCAUGCCACUUAAUUUUUUGAAGCCUCUGUCUCUUCUGUAAAGUGGAGAUGAUAAUAAUGAUGAUGAUAAAGAGGACUUUGGGUAGCUCACUGGCUGGCUGCAAAAAUUCAAUGAUACGUGUUGGGUAAGCACUUAGCACAGUGCCUGUCACAGAGAAAACUCUGAGUAAAUGAUAACACAUUUGCUUAACAUAAUAUAGCCAGUAGUGAUCAGGGUUGAGACUCUAUCUCAGAUCAUUUGUCAACUCCAAGUCUACUUCUCCUUGUUACAAAUUAUAAUGCAUUCAUUUAUUCAUUUCCUACCUAUCUACUACAUAUAAUUACAUAGCUAUAUAUAAUUAUGUAUUUUUUCCUUUUUUUCUCCUUUCACGUAAAUUAAGCAUCUUUUCAGAGAAAUCAGUAACCUGAUCAGGAAGUAUUUCUGUCAAGUCUUAUUUCAUAGCAAGAUUAAAAGUUUUUUCUUAAGAUAUAUUUGGAGACUUUUGUCAUUUAAUCAAGGACUUCACUGUAUGCCUACGUGGGAUAAAGCUUGCCAAUAACUUAUGGGAAAUUGCUGGUGAUUAAUCCAACCCUAUUUCUGCCAUGCUGCCCCUUGCUCUCUCCAAGGGCCUCUAUCCCUGAUCCUGCCCUUCCCAGUGUCUACAAUGUGGAUUCCUCCCCACCCUCUUAUCUCUCAGAGCUCGGUUCAAAUGUUGCUUCCUCCAUCUUCCUCCCCGCUUCCCUGAUCUCAGUCUUUCUCCCAUCUUCACCAAGCUAGCAGUUGCUCUGCUGAAAUUCUCACAAAAUUGCAUUCCUUCCCUUUAUUGUGCUUAUCUCUGUUUCUAAAUAAUUGGGGGGAUUAUUUGAUUCAUAUCUGUUUUCCCCAUCAGAUUAUAAUGGACAGGAAAACAGGGCCGGGAUAUUGCAUGUCCACCCUUGUGCCUAACUUUUGGUUGAAGAAGCAAGCGAUUUUUUUUGGGCACUGACUCUGUGCCUGGCCCCUAGAGUAACACAUGCUCUCAUCCUUACAGUAAAUUUUCAGGCGGGCAGCAUUUUCUUCAUUCUAUACUCCAAGGAAGAGGAGGGUCAGAGAGGAUAAAUAACCUGCCUUGGAUUUCAGAGUAGGUAAAUGGCAGAGACUCCACUGCCUCUAUCAUUUCUCUCGAGGCCCAGGGACCCUCAGAUGGUGAAAGGCAAGAGUCUGCAAACCCCUGGAGGCCUGGAAGCAGGAUUCAUGGAGUUCUUUCCCCAGAGAGGAGCAGUCAGCUCCGAGUCAAUUAGCAGAGCAAUCAUCGGCAAUCAAGUCCCUGACUAAUGAGGUGCCUGAAAUUGAGAUGUCACUUGUAAUCUCUUUUCUUCUAAACUAUCUGGAUUAAGAUUCCAGGGUAUUAAGAAAUCAUUUUUAUUUUUCUCAGGGAAAUCUAAACACUUCAAUGUUACAAAAAAUCUUGUUAUUGGGGAGAUAAGUAAAAUGGGCUUCAGUAUUAACUUCUUAAUUAUUUUUGAAAUAUGCAGAUCUUGCUGGAGCAGACAUGCAAAAAUGGAUGGUUUCCAGUGUCCCUUUAAAAUCUGGGAUGCCUUGGAGGCUAUAAAAAUAAAAUUCUAAACACAAAUUCAUCCUGGCAAAGGCUGGGUAGCCAUUCUAGAUUGAACCAAAAUAUCUAAUUGGCUCAGGCACAGAGGAUCAAUGCUGUUCUUCAAUUGGUGAACUUCUUAUGUGGAGAUUAAAUGGAAUCAUAAGAUUGUAAUUAGUUGUAAUUAUAUAAAUAGUGUCUUCUGGUUUUGUCUCUUUGCUGAGACAAUUGCUUGGGAUGGCUUUGGAAAAAACUUGUUCCUGAGGCCAGGAAGGGCUCUGAAAAGGAAGUUUUCCAGUCAGCUCUCAAAUACCCCACUUAUGCCCUCAAACAAAAAAUGAGUUUCUUUUAGGAUGAUUUGUUUCAAAGGCUUUUUAUUUCUUCUCCCUUAAACUGCAGCCAUUUGGCCCUGCAGGAGUUUGGGAAGGCAAGAAGGCCAGCUACAGGUGCAAAGCAGCUUCAUCGCUGGAGGGACACCAUGCCCAAGGUGGGAAUGGUAAUAAUGAUGAAAUAGACCAGAGAAACAUCCAUUCACUUGGAAAAGCCAGGAGUAAGAACCUACUGCUCUUGCACUAGGCCCAUGUCAUGCCCACUUUUGUGCUCUUUUCCAGUUAUGGGGUUUUAAUUUGAGGGUAAAUUACCCUACCAGGACGUCUGGAGCACAUCCACUAUGGGAGACUGAUUUCACUCUUUCAUUUCCCAUCCGAUUGCUGAGUUUCAUUAUUCCAUUAUUUCCUUCCAUUCGGUAAGAGAAUUCUUGGGUGAAAAUAUGCACCAUGUCACUCUUUUUGUAAGCCCAUUCUCUAAAGAGAUAUAAAGUAACAUCAGCCCUGCCAGGUCUGCACGUGAAAAAAUCUAGAAAUCCGUUACCCAAAGCAAAAGUAUACUCUUUGUCUGAUUCUAGGCCCUAUUGAGGUUUAGAAACAUAGAAGACAGGGUAAGAGUGUAUUUGCAGUUUAUCUUGGAGCCCUUUGGAAGGAAGCUCUGUCUUGUGGAGUUUCUAUUCCUCAGAAGUAAUAAUAACAAGCAACAAUUAUAUAGCAGUGACUCUGUGCCAGUCACUCAACAGAUUUUCAUUGCGUGCACACUUGUCAACACCAUUGAAGCCACUGGGAAGAAGGCAAGGAAACCAUUACUGACCCUAUCCCUACCCUUGUGAUGCUUAUACUGCAUUGGGGAGCUGGGCUUAAGUGUUUGAAGUUCUGCACACUGGAAAGGGAAUUAGACUUUCUGGGUCCUUCUGGGAAUUACAGGGAGGAGGGAGUGGAAAUUACAGGGAGAUGGAUGGGAUUAAGUCACCUGUGCAAAUUCUCAGACCCCACCCUACAUCUACUGAGUCAGAAACUCUGUGGGUAAGACCAAGCAAGGCAAGUUUCACAAACUCUACUCUGAUUCUUAUGUGCACUGAAGUUUGAGAACCACCUGGAUUUGACAUAAGGAGAAUACUCUACCCAGUGGAGUUUUCCAACAGCAAAAUGAGCUGCCGCUGCUGGUGGCAUAGCAUUCUCCAUUGUGUGCAAACAAGACCACUCGAAACAGAAGGAAUGAGGGUGUGGAUUUCAGUGUUUCCCAAGCACAUUUAAUGAUGAAAUACUGUUAUAAUUAUGAGGUGCUGACAGGACAUCAAUAGGAGCUUGACAAUUAUGCAUUAAAGUCUAUUGCAAAAAAUACUCCCAAAUGAAAUAAUUGCUGCCGGAAAUUGUCAAAAGUUGUUCUUAUACUUUAUAACAUACAAACAAAACAAAUUAGAGAAAUAAGGUCAUUUUAAUUUAUUAAUACAUUAAUGUGAAGAUUACUAAAAUAAACAGCCUCUUCCAUUCCCCCUGGCCCCCAUCCCCCGCCCCAGAAAUACCUAUGACCGUAUCAAGGAUGGAAAAAUCAAAUGCUCUGAUGUUCCUUCCAAUCUGGGACAACAUACUUUAGAAAAAAUACUGGAGGGGAGCAAACAUUGUAUUUGAAAUCACCUUGCCCUUUUCUGUGACUUCUCCGGCUCUCCAUCACUUUCUUUUCCUCUUUUCUGGGCAAUACUCCAUCCUUGCCUCCAAGCCCCCUAGGACCUAGGUGCCAUGUCUUCAUCUCUCUCUCCCACCCGAACCUUCCCAAUUUCCUUUGUAUUUGCUCCCAGGAGGCUCAUGUUCAGUGCUGUAGUCUAUCCGCCCUUCUCAGCCCAGUGCUCUUCCCUCAGAGUGCAGUGCAGCCAUCUGCUCAGGAACCUGUGCUGAUAGGAUAGCAGUUGCUAAUGAGUUACUUGUUCAUCUCCUGGGUAAACUGUUUGCUUUUUAACUGGAGGCUUCUAGGGCCAGCACCUGUGAGGGGAAGAGCUUUAGAAUGUCAGCCUGAGAGAGGGGCACCGUGUGGAGAGAAUUUCUCAGUCAAGUCCAAACUUGAUCUGUCUAGUGUUUUCCAGGUCUCUGGAGUUCCAUCUGCAUCCAGAACUGAAAUCAAAGGUGAAACAUAACCACGAGCUUGGCCUGAAUUUGAUAGGGGCUGCAGAGGAGAGGAUGUUCUUGCCACCCUUCUGUGACUCAGGCAGUCUCAAUCAGCUACCUCCUUGGGGUUAUAAUUCUGUUGGCUUUUUCCCCCAGUUAGUCCAGAAAGGGGAAUGACAAGAUGAAGACAGGAAGACAGGAACACUUUUCUCUGCUUUUCCCAUAAUCUCUGCGUGUGAGUGGAGACCUGUUUAUGAUCAUUUGUUACCAUCCCCUGUCUCCCCCCAAUAUUUUGGCCUCAUUUACAGUGGGGAUUAACAUGAUCUAGGGCAGCCUUCUGGGUUCCUUUGUGAUCAUCUAAAAAUGAACAAAACCCAAAGGAUCCAUUUCUUCUUCCCAUUAAUUUGAAGAAAGGCAGAUGGUGCCCAAUAACCUGAUUUGAAUUGCCAAUAAAGUGCAUCAUCUUUUUACUAACUUGCCAUUAAAUUUUAACGGACGGUGUCCAUGGUGCAGAAUGAGCUCCGAGAGCGGUUAUUCAAAGCCUGUGGGGUGGGAGAGUGAGCAGUCAGUCUGUGUCCACACAACCUCCCUGAGGAGGAGGAGAUUUGGAGCAAUGAGAGAGGCUGCGGAGGGGUCUGAACUGUUGAGACUCUAGGGAAAAAUGUGGCAGAAAGGGGUGAGCUGGCAGGAAAGUGGUAGUUUCCAAGAAGCUUGAGACUCAUGUUGUAAAUUUGAGGGCACCAACCGUAUGUCACCUAUUGCUACUUCUCCACUACAUUAGGUGUUUGGAGGGCAGUCACUAAAAGCUGGCUGAAGGAGUGAUGAAAACUUUUGAUGGAUGGAAAGCGUAAUUUUAGUGAAGAGGGAAGAAAAUACAACCAAGAUAAGAAAAGGAGAUACCUCCCACAAGGUACUGCAGAGUUGAAAGAAAGAGUCCUAGGCUUGGGGACUUGGGUUCUACUCCUGACUCUAAUAGUACAUCACUGAGAAAAGUCUUAUAAGUCUCCAGAUGGAGGAAAAUAGGUACCAAAUUGCUGAAGGGACUUGCCUCCUUCAUCUGCAACCAGAAACCAAGACUCCAAAACCUUCUAGUGAUACCUCCACAAACGAACAUGCUCGCUCUUUGCUUAUGUGCUCAGUGAAUGGUUUAUUGAAUUUCCUGACUCAAAAUGGUUAAUUCUGUUGAUUUUUUAAAAUGUCAAAAUUAAAUGGCUGGACUGGAAGAUUGAUAAGAUCCUUUUCAACCCUAAAAUUCCAUGGUGUGUUCUACAAUGUUUGUAAAAAGUCAAGUUUUCUUUUGUUUCACUAGUGCAGAGCGUCAGGGUCCUCAAGCCAGCAUAAUUCAGUUAUGGUAUGGGAAUAAGGAUAUUCCAUCAUCUGGGAGGAGAAUAAAUUGUAGCAUGGCCAUCUCUGCUCUACGAGUUAGACAUGUUGCUCCAAUGUGCUGGACUUAGGUAGUUUUCCCUGCUUGUUAUCCUUUCCUUCUAUUCUUUUCAGCUCUCCCCUUUGGAGAACCGCCUCCCUGCCAUUCUCAUUCCAUGUGGUGAUGGAGUGGCUGACCUUCUCACCCAUUAGUCAAGUGGACACUUGACUAAUAUUCAGCCAACCAGCAUAUUCUGCAUCCUCUUGCCACAGUGUUUGGUUCGAGAGUGAGAGCUUAAGAAAGCCUAAUGAAAAUCAGCCUCAGGAUUUUUGCCAGAACAAUUGAGAAUGAGACUCUCUCUUUUCUUUAGACUCACUAAACUACAUGGAUAUAAGCUUGAAGCUGCAGGUGGCCAUCAACUCUUGAGGGUAUCCUGGGCCUGAAAAUGAAGCUAACAUAAAGGGAAACAAAACUGAGGCACAGAGAGAGAUGAAUUCCUUGAACAUGGCGCCUGAAGGUGUCAAGAUCUGGCUUUAUCUUAAUUGGAGUUUGUUGAACUUCUUGGAUAUCAAAAGCCAUCUCCCAUGUAACCACAUACUUCAGGAGAAGCUGACCCUACACCCAGCUCUACUAGUGAGUCUAAUUUGUCCAAGGGUCUUCUUUUCCCUUUGCUAGAGAUUGGCUCAUGGGUCAAAUGAUCCAACUCCAGUCAAUGAAACAUUAGGGGAAUCUGCUGGAGGAUUUCCAAAAAGAGUUUCCUCAUUCCAAACAGAAGACCAUAAGAAAGGAAUGUCAUGCCUAUAAUUGCUGCAGCUAUUUUAAUUCCAAGUAUGAGGUUGAAACAAUCAUGGAUGGCCAAGUGAAGAGAUGGAAAAAGCAGGAUUCAGGAUAACUUUAUUUUUUUGGAAGAUGACCAAAAUGCUAUCUCUAUUUGGAGAUAAUAAUUAGUCUCAUCUUCAUUGGCUUCCUCUUGAAUGCGGAGGGAAUUAUCGGAUGAGUACAUUGGAACAUGGUCGCCAUGUGGCCUGCUGCCCCCAUGUACCACUUGGAGACCAGCCUAGCAUGGAAAUGACCAGAUGUUGGAAGCUGAGCUACUGACAGUCAGCUCUCAAGUAGAGGAAGAUAAUCAUGGGUAAGGCGUGCUGCAGGGCCUGUCUUCGGCAGAUGUCUUUCUCACUAGCUGAAUGUUCCACCUGAAACUUCCAGCAUAUAUCUUGUUGUCUCCAAGAUGCCCUUGUUAAAAUACAGAUAUCUUCAAGUUUUCUGGGAAGUUUGCUGCCAUGUUUUGAACUGCUCUAUGGAGAAUGCAACAUGGCUAGGAAUAUGAGAGAGCCAACAGGACAAUGAGGCCCUCAAUACAGCAAGAAACCAAAUCCUGCCAACAACCAUUUCUCAGAUUUUGAAGACCAGGACUCCUCAUGAAUCUGUCAGCCCCCCUCAGCCCAGCUCUGGGCCUCUCUGUCACCACCACUGCCACCUCGUCAUUAUCCUAUUUCAUGCCAGUCACUGGACUAACAGGCUUUAUCACAUUUAAUUCCUUCAACAACACCAAGAGGAGCCUGUCAGGCCUCUGAGCCUAAGCCAAGCCAU